UGAGUAGGUUCAUCAUUUAAGUGAUAAUUAGCUUACCUUUUAAUUUACAUCCAUAAACAAGUCUCAAGAAUCUUAGGAAGAUGUUUGAAAUAACAAGAAAUGAGUAGGACAAGUGAGCUAGCAAACUAAAUAAUUCAAGGCAAAGUCUUGUCUGAAUAAUAAUGUUAAUAAUCAAAUUUUAUUGAGUGCAUACCAUGUGCUUAAACCAUGUGCAUUUAAUUUGAUUCUCACAGUGGCCCUAUGAGACAGGCAGUACCUGUAAUUUAAUUUUACAGAUAAGGAUGUUGAGGUCUAAAAAGGUCUAAAAAGGCAAUUUUAUAAGGGUCCUCCAACUAGUAAGUGACAGACGUAAUUUAAAUUGUUUUGGCAGUUUAGUCCAAGUUCAUAAUUAUAUAUAAGGAAUAAAUGAUCAGAAGUGGUGCUAGGUUUUAGAGGGUGGUUUUGGUGAGAAUCAUUGAGAGAACUGCCUUGAUUGUUUUUGUUACGUAUACUUUUUCUUUAGCUCUCUAUCUCCUUUUUCUAAUGUUGAGUAUUUUACAGUAAUCAUUUCAGUGACCUCAGUGAUAUUUCACGGUGUUUUCCUCAACAUCUAGUACAGGUCUGGCUCACAGUAGGAGCUCAAGAAAUUUCUUUUUUCUUUUUCUUUUCUUUUUUUUUAGGGCCGCAUCUGUGGCAUAUGGAGGUUCCCAGGCUAAGGGUUGAAUCAGAGCUACAGCUGCCAGCCUAGCCAUAGCCACAGCAAUGCCAGAUCCAAGCUGCAUCUGCACCCUACACCACAGCUCAUGGCAAAGCCAGAUCCUUAACCCACUGAGCAAGGCCAGGGGUCAAACCUGUGACCUCAUGGCUCCUAGUCAGAUUCUUUUCCACUGCGCUGUGAGAGGAACUCCAAGAAUUAGAAUAAUCUAUAUUAAAAUACAUAUAUAAGUUAAUAAAUGAUAAAUAAACUUAUACUUGAUAUCCUUUUUAAGGAAUAUUUGCCACCAAAGUUCAGGCUGGAAAGUCACUAAAAUAACUGUUUAGAAAAGAAUCACAAUGAUAUUUUUUAGAUUUUUGCUAUAUACAUUGAGUUGUGUACAGAUUAAAAUAUAUGUGUACUGAUUCUCAAAACAAUCAAUGAAAUAGAAAUUAUGAAAGAAAAAAUAUAUUUAUAUGCCAUUUGAAAGGUGGUUCUAUAAAUAGGAAUGUAAAAUUACCUGAGUACAGGAGGGCAAAGUGGAUUUUCUAAUAAUUGGUCUCUCACAAGAGCUUCCUCUGAAAGAAGAACAACUUGUUGAGGUCACCUGGAGUUAAUGUAGGAGGGAAAGUUUUGAGCCCAUUUUCUUCUCGAGGCUUUACUGGAAUUGAAUGUUAUUGUAGGUUAAAUGAGAAGCGUCUUUGGCUGCUGCUUCAUGAAAACUGAAUCCCAGAGGAAUGACCAUUGAGAUUAGUCACUGGGGAGAGAUAGUCUGGUCAAUAGAAAUACGAACAAUGACAUCACAAAUGACUUUGCAGAACGCCAGUGAAAACAGCAGGAAGGAGAUUUGAAGCAAAGCCAUCUAUUUCCACAGCAAGGGAAAACCCACACCCAAAUGAUAGGGAGAGACCAGGAGCCAGAAUUAAAGUGAAUAGUUUCCUGAGUGGUCAGCAGUGAGUAGUUUCAGCAAUAGAUAAGCCAUGGUACUGGGUAGCAUAGGAUUCUGGUAAAUGAAGCACCAAGCAGGAGGUAGCUGACCUCUGAGGCCUUGAACAGCGCCCUCAGUACCUCUCUGAUCCAGUUUCAUGUUUGCAGAGUGGAGGUGGGGAGACACUGUGUCAUCUUUUACGUGACAUGGGGGACAUGAUCUUAGUAUAUUUUUGAAAGCCUUCCAGUUACUGAUUUCAAGCAUAGCAUAACAAAGUAGUUUAUAUCCUUAGUAAUAAUAACAUGAGAUUCUUUUCACUGAGUUCCUACUUUGUGCUAGUUAUUUAAUCCUCCUAGCAGUCCUGCCCUGUUCUACUCUCUACAUUUUAUGUACGUUGAAAAAUACUCAGCCAAGUUAAGUGACCUGCCCAGCAUGACAGAGCUAGAAUGUGAUGAGUUGGAAUUUGAACAGGAGUCAGUUUACCUCCAAAGCUUGUCAUCUCUGUUCAUCAGAGCAGCCUAAUGGCACAAAAAUGUUCACUUUUUUUUGGGGGGGGCUGCACAUUGGCAUAUGGAGGUUCCCAGGCGAGGAGUCCAAUCAGAGCUAUAGCUGCCAGCCUGUGCCACAGCCACAGCAAUGUGGAAUCCAAGUCACGUCUGCAAGCUACACCACAGUUCGCAGCAGUGCCAGAUCCUUAACCCACUGAGCGAGGCCAGGGAUCGAACCUGCGAUCUGCUGGUUCCUAGUCAAAUUCGUUUCUGCUGCGCCAUGACAGGAACUCCCGCCUAACUGUUCUUGAUCUUUCAGCCCUUACACCUGGCCUGAUGAGUAUCUGAAAGAACAUUUUUU
rnacentral:lncRNA from 1 species